CAUCAAUUAAAUUUGUUACCUCUUCUCCGAUGGCCAUUAAGGCGUAAUGAGAAACUUGCUCGGUGUUGGACUCCUCUUCUUCUAACGCGCUCGAGUCAUCCCACGUCGCUUUGAGCGUAUUCUUGUUUGAUGUUCUCUUCUUGGCUUGGGGAUAAUCACUUUUGUAAUGUCCCGGCUUUUUGCACUCAUAGCAAAUAACUUGGUCCUUUUUGGGUUCAAGUUUAU
rnacentral:lncRNA from 1 species